rnacentral:ncRNA from 2 species
AUCGCAGUCCGUGGCGAUUUGCGGCGUAUUGCGGCCACGUAAAACCAACCGCUAAAAAGCCCCUCGCCGGCCGAAC